AUAUCUCGAACCAUCUCUCCCAUUUGCGGAGAGAGGCUGGAGGAAAAUGAAGAAAGAACUGGAGUUUCUUGUGAAUUAUGAGGGAUGAAACAUGCAGAGCAUCAGUGUGGACCUUCAUCUUCCUCGGUUUUCUCAGGUCGACUCUGGCAGCCGGUGACAACUUCAUCCUUCCUGCAGAGCUCCAUCACUCCGGCUGUUGUUUUCCUCCUCAUCCUCCUCCUCCUCUAGUCGACCUGUUCUUCCUGCUGUGUGACAGACUGAGUCACAUCUCUGUCAGUCUGUCUUCCUCCUUCAGUCCAUCACUCCCCCUCUCAGAGACAGCAACAGGAGCAACAGCUCAUAUUUUAUAUCUGUUCAAAAUGUAGCUUAGAGGAAGA